AUACGGAGGGUGCAAGUGUUAAUCGGAAUUACUGGGCGUAAAGCGUACGUAGGCGGUUCGUUAAGUUAGAUGUGAAAGCCCCGGGCUUAACCUGGGAACUGCAUUUAAAACUGGCUAACUAGAGUUAAGUAGAGGGGAGUGGAAUUUCAGGUGUAGCGGUGAAAUGCGUAGAGAUCUGAAGGAACACCAGUGGCGAAGGCGACUCCCUGGACUUGAACUGACGCUGAGGUACGAAAGCGUGGGUAGCAAACGGGAUUAGAAACCCCAGUAGUCC
rnacentral:rRNA from 1 species